CCUACGGGAGGCAGCAGUAAGGAAUAUUGCGCAAUGGGCGAAAGCCUGACGCAGCAACGCCGCGUGCGGGAUGAAGGCCCUCGGGUUGUAAACCGCUUUCAGUAGGGAAGAAAAUGACGGUACCUACAGAAGAAGCCCCGGCCAACUACGUGCCAGCAGCCGCGGUAACACGUAGGGGGCGAGCGUUGUCCGGAUUUAUUGGGCGUAAAGAGCUCGUAGGCGGUUUCGUAAGUCGGAUGUGAAAACUCCAGGCUCAACUUGGAGACGCCAUUCGAUACUGCGAUGACUUGAGUCCGGUAGGGGAGUGUGGAAUUCCUGGUGUAGCGGUGAAAUGCGCAGAUAUCAGGAGGAACACCGGCGGCGAAGGCGGCACUCUGGGCCGGUACUGACGCUGAGGAGCGAAAGCGUGGGUAGCAAACAGGAUUAGAUACCCUUGUAGU
rnacentral:rRNA from 1 species